rnacentral:rRNA from 1 species
AACGCGAAGAACCUUACCAACGCUUGACAUUCACGGGAAAGUUCCAGAGAUGGUUCCCCCGCAAGGUCCGUGCACAGGUGGUGCAUGGUUGUCGUCAGCUCGUGUCGUGAGAUGUUGGGUUAAGUCCCGCAACGAGCGCAACCCUUGUCUUAUGUUGCCAGCACGUGAUGGUGGGGACUCAUAAGAGACUGCCGGGGUCAACUCGGAGGAAGGUGGGGAUGACGUCAAAUCAUCAUGCCCCUUAUGUCUUGGGCUUCACGCAUGCUACAAUGGCCGGUACAAAGGGGUGCGAAACCGUGAGGUGGAGCGAAUCCCAAAAAGCCGGUCUCAGUUCGGAUUGGGGUCUGCAACUCGACCCCAUGAAGUCGGAGUCGCUAGUAUUAUCAAAUCAUCAACCUUUCCCGGGAAUAAUGUUCCCGGGGUCUUGUACACACCG